UACAGAGAGUGCGAGCGUUAAUCGGAAUUACUGGGCGUAAAGCGCAUGUAGGUGGGUAAUUUAGUCAGAUGUGAAAGCCCCAGGCUUAACCUGGGAACUGCAUCUGAUACUGGUUAUCUAGAGUGUGGUAGAGGGAAGUGGAAUUUCCGGUGUAGCGGUGAAAUGCGUAGAUAUCGGAAAGAACACCAGUGGCGAAAGCGGCUUCCUGGAUCAACACUGACACUCAGGUGCGAAAGCGUGGGGAGCAAACAGG
rnacentral:rRNA from 1 species